CCAACCUAUCCCAGGGCGGGGGGACAACCGAGGGAAACUUUGGCUAAUACCGCAUGAUGUUCCGCUUUCGCAUGUUAGCGGAAUCAAAGAGGGCCUCUUCAUGAAAGCUCUCACCCAGGGAGGGGGUCGCGAUGUAUCAGCUUGUUGGUGGGGUAAUGGCCUACCAAGGCUACGACGCGUAGCGGAUCUGAGAGGAUGAUCCGUCACAUUGGGACUGAGAUACGGCCCAG
rnacentral:rRNA from 1 species